GAUGAACGCUGGCGGCGUGCCUAAUACAUGCAAGUCGAGCGAACAGAUGAGGAGCUUGCUCCUCUGACGUUAGCGGCGGACGGGUGAGUAACACGUGGAUAACCUACCUAUAAGACUGGGAUAACUUCGGGAAACCGGAGCUAAUACCGGAUAAUAUAUUGAACCGCAUGGUUCAAUAGUGAAAGACGGUUUUGCUGUCACUUAUAGAUGGAUCCGCGCCGCAUUAGCUAGUUGGUAAGGUAACGGCUUACCAAGGCGACGAUGCGUAGCCGACCUGAGGGGGUGAUCGGCCACACUGGAACUGAGACACGGUCCAGACUCCUACGGGAGGCAGCAGUAGGGAAUCUUCCGCAAUGGGCGAAAGCCUGACGGAGCAACGCCGCGUGAGUGAUGAAGGUCUUCGGAUCGUAAAACUCUGUUAUUAAGGAAGAACAAAUGUGUAAGUAACUAUGCACGUCUUGACGGUACCUAAUCAGAAAGCCACGGCUAACUACGUG
rnacentral:rRNA from 1 species